AUCAUUAGUCUUUUAAUUAGAGACCGGUAUGAAAGAGUAAACCUGGAGAAUUUCUUUUUAGUUGAAAAAAUGAAUUUUACUUUUUAGUAAGAAGGCUAAAAUGUUUCUUUUAGACAAGAAGACCCUAUAAAACUUUAUAUUUUAUUUUUCUUAAUUGGAAGAGAAAAUAUUAUACUGGGGCGGUAGAGAAAAAGCUUUCUUUUAAAAGAAAACGGACAUGUUUUUGUAUCUAGAAGUUCUAAAGAAGGAAUAAGUUACUUUAGGGAUAACAGCUUAAUUUACUUUGAAAGUUCAAAUUGACAAGUAAGUUUAUGACCUCGAUGUUGAAUUAAAAAAUCUUUUUGCGCAAAAUUAGGGAG
rnacentral:rRNA from 1 species